UUCACCUUGAUUCGUUCAAUUGGAUUUCGUUCUUUGGGCUAUCUGAUUUGGGGAUCCUCCCAUUGGGUUUUAUUCUCUGGGCUGUUCGAUUUGAGCUGAAUUUUUAUGUGUCAACAAUUACCCCCCAAUAUGGCAGAAUUAAUAAUAAUUAUUGAAUUUUGCCAUAUUCACUUCACGUCUUCAGCAACGUUCACGAUUCCCAAAGAAUUUCAAUCAUUGUUUCCUUCUAUAACUUGAAAAGGUGCGUCGCUUUGCAAACCCUUAUAAACC
rnacentral:lncRNA from 1 species